UCUAGAAUAGUAAAAAUCACAAAUGGACAUUUUUAUUUUCAAAGACAUAAAAGCCCAAAUAUUACAAUACUGAGGUACAGCUUGGCACUGUGUGAAAUGUUGACUUUACAAUCAUAGAAAACAUGUUUCAAUCUUUCUAAAGGUUCACAAAUCUUACUCAAAGUACCACCUAAGUUUUUCCAGACACAGAAAGGAAAUGAGUUAUACAACUGUCUCCAUUAACACCAACCAAUAAAACAACAAAAGAAAAAAUAGUAUUAAAAGUUAUUAAUAAGACUUCUCUUCAUUUACAUAGUGUUUAAUGUUAAAGCAACAUUAUUUUGUUUAAUGCCUACUAACAGAAAAGAAAAACACUACAGGUGGAAAUAAAGUAAUAGAAGGCUGAGGAUUAAAUCUAUUAAUUAGAGAAUAUUAAUUAAAUCCCAACAAUCUUUUCUCCUUCGCAUCAUAGUUACAAAUCAGUAUUGAAUAUUUAACAACAGCCAUAGUUACAUGAUGCUAAAUUACAUCAUGUAUUGGGAAAUGGCAUCUC
rnacentral:lncRNA from 1 species